CAAUCCUAGGCUGGGCGGCGCCCCUCAUCUACUCGGUUGUGCGGCCGCCGACCUCGCCUUCCCAUUCCAUCACCCGAUCCGUCCCUCGCUACUAUUAAUUCUCUCUCUUGAUGUGUAAGCGGGACAGGAUCUAGAAGGGAAAGGAGGAGGAGAAAAGCACGGAUGAGAACAGAGGCCGGAGGUGGUAGGAGGCAGGGGCUGACGGCUGCGAUGAGUUCUACCUUCUUCCACUGCCUCCCUGCUGUUAGGUUUGCACUUAGCGUUGCCUGACAUCCGUCAGGCCGCCCUCCUUUCCCCUAUUCCAUACCGCGGUCCUGGGCUUUAGGUUAUCACUAUUGAACUGCGAUUCCUCCACUGAUGCGUGCCAAACACGGGUAGGCCUUCAGGCCGGGGUCAAGGACGUGGCCAAUCGGCUGGCUACACGGUUUAUGUUCUUUCGGUUGUGACUGUUGUGCCUUCGUCCAUUAUCAGCGACUGCUACUUUUUCAUCUGUUGGUUCGAGCUCUCUUCUGAAUUCUGGUGUUCUGUCUAAGACGGAUGCUCCGAGACGCGAAAUUUGGUUGGAAUUGGCCAGUUGUAGAUAUGCUCGAUGAUCAAAAUUAUUCACAACAAAAAUCCGAUCCAAGAGGGCAGUGAAGAGAGCGUUGAUUACCUGAGAUCAGCCAACGUCGCCGGAGCCAAGUAUAGCGCCAUCAGUAAUUGAUUGUUAAACACAUGGUCCAUUUGUCUCCUUUGGUAAAUGUGAUGCGCGCUGGUGCCUGUUCAUGCUUCGAGACGACGAGUGCGAGGGCGUCGAUGCACGCAGCAUGGGCGCUGAUGUGGGCUAACAUGUCAGAUGCAAGGUACAAGAGCUUUCCGGUGAAUCUAGGACCACGAGCAGGUAGUGCACGAGAAUGGAGGCUAUUUGACAAAUUUCGGCACAGGAACUCUGCCCUUGCUGCUGCCGUCACCGCGUCCAUCUCUACAGAGGAUCAUGGUAGGUUUUCUGUCUCGAGGGCCAGAGCACCUUUGCACUAAUUAGGUUCAUAUGUCUUUUGACUAUUGAAGUAAAGAACUUCUCUCUCUGGCUUAGAUAUCACUUACAUUUUAAAUUGAUUUGUCAUACUAUUGUGACAAGCCAAGAAACACCAUAGUGAAUUGUGGCUUCAGAAGAUGUAUAUAUAGGCAAGGUUGCCAAAGGGUUGUGUGUGGAUGGAGAAAGCAUAUCUUCCAUUAUCUCCU